rnacentral:rRNA from 1 species
GACGAACGCUGGCGGCGUGCCUAACACAUGCAAGUCGAGCGAGGAAAUUCCUUCGGGGAUUUCCUAGCGGCGGACGGGUGAGUAACACGUGGGCAACCUGCCUGAUAGAGGGGGAUAGCCUCCCGAAAGGGAGAUUAAUACCGCAUAAAGUCAAAUGAAGGCAUCUUCAAAUGACCAAAGGAGUAAUCCGCUAUCAGAUGGGCCCGCGGCGCAUUAGCUAGUUGGUGAGGUAACGGCUCACCAAGGCGACGAUGCGUAGCCGACCUGAGAGGGUGGUCGGCCACAUGGGGACUAGAACACGGCCCAGACUCCUACGGGAGGCAGCAGUGGGGAAUAUUGCACAAUGGGUGAAACCCUGAUGCAGCAACGCCGCGUGAGUGAUGAAGGCCUUCGGGUUGUAAAGCUCUGUCUUCAGGGACGAUAAUGACGGUACCUGAGGAGGAAGCCACGGCUAACUACGUGCCAGCCGCCGCCGUAACAC